rnacentral:rRNA from 1 species
CAGUCGCCGCGGUAAUACGAAGGGUGCAAGCGCUACUCGGAAUUACUGGGCGUAAAGCGUGUGUAGGUGGUUGUUUAAGUCUGUCGUGAAAGCCCUGGGCUCAACCUGGGAAUUGCGAUGGAUACUGGGCGACUAGAGUGCGGUAGAGGAUAGUGGAAUUUCCGGUGUAGCAGUGAAAUGCGUAGAGAUCGGAAGGAACAUCUGUGGCGAAGGCGACUAUCUGGGCCAACACUGACACUGAGACACGAAAGCGUGGGGAGCAAACAGGAUUAGAUACCCCGGUAGUCCCUGUCUCUUAUAC